ensembl:lncRNA
CUACUUAAAUGAUGUAGAGUGAAUUCCAUAUUUUUUGGAGGUUAAGAAACCUAAUUUCUAUAGAAAACGUGAUGCAUGCAUGACCCCCAAUUUAGGCACCUGAAGUGAGCAAAGGCAUGGCAAGAGUUUUUCUGGUCACCUACAGCAGAGUCAACAGAAAUACUGAUGAAAGAGACUUGCAGAUUAAGUACAAUAUAAGGAAUAAAGUUAAUAAAAUUGAAUUGUAUUAGAGGUUUUAGUUAAUGAGUAGAUUUUAGCUAUUCUUGUUGCACACAAGGAAAGUAACUGUGAGAUAAUCUGCUUCACUAUAGUCGUCAUUUAACUUUUGAUGAUAUUCUAUGACAUUAUGUUCUAAACAUCAAGCAUACACAAUAAAGUUUAUUUUUCUUUUAAAUAGGAAGAUACAGCUUGAGGAGCCAGAUGCAGCGGCUCACUCCUGUAAUCCCAGCGUUUUGGGAGGCCGAGUUCAAGUGAAGAUACAAGCACGCCUCUUGGUUCAGGAUGCCCACAUGACCUAUGUGUGGUCAACCUCUGUGUCCAGCUUCUGAGACGGACGCUCCCUGGGAGACCUGGAAGGAUGUGAUCAAACACAUGCAAACUACAGGGGCUGAAAGUGAGAAAAGGUGGUUUUCAGAGGAAAAUCUUCAGUGUUAACAGACAAAGAGGGAGUGAUGGAUGAACAGGUAAAACCAGCAGCUGUCCGGUGUACUGUGACUUAUAACUUUUACCUGGGCUGAUAAAUAAAUAAUGGCUGGAGUCAUUAUGAGUGACAGCAUUCUUGUUCUGCAGACACUAUAAAUCUGGAUAAAAUAAGCAAUUCUCUGCUGAGAUGAUAGAAGAAUCUAUCUUCCCUCACUUCGCCAACACAGUGAGAAUAGUGGACUCUGAAUUCUUGAUUUUUCUGGCUGCAUCGUGAAGAGUAUUUCCUGAAACCGUCAAUGAGGAUGUACAGAAACAGUAGGAAAAUGUGGGCUAGGGAAAUCAACGUAGGAUGGUCCUCUUCAUCCCAGAUAUGAUCAGUGUUCCUGCUGUGAGAAGUGUCUUCUUCACUAACCUUUUAAAAUACGUUCUUCUUAAUAUUAUAGAUGAUUGAAAUUUUUAAUGUUUUUUAUUAUUUAACUCACAAAAAAUGUGAAUAUAAUCUCUGGAGGAGAGGGAAUUGGCCAAAUAUUAUACUAAGAAGUGUGGCUAAUUUAUUCUGUAACUUGGCCAUGAACAAUAUAUGGGAAUAAAUGAAUAACUCAAAUAGAAGACUUUCUUUUGGUCCGGGAAAACAGAAGGAAUUUGAGUAUUAAUCUUCGGUCUGCUGCCAGUCUGCUGCAUCAGGAACUAUUUUUGAUACAUGAGAAUGAUGGAAAAAUUGAGAGUUCUCUUGACUUUACCCCCAGUUCCUAUAAAAAAGACAAUUAAACCACAAAAAGCUAUUUAAGAAAAUAUUUGCUGUCUCAUUGCCAGAUUAACAAUUAAAUGUUCCUAUCUGUUCGUAACGUCAAAGAGAAGAUGAAUGGAAGCAAUAGUGUUGUCAGCCGCAGCCGAAUCUGUAUCAACUGCAUAUUAGGACAGUAGCUGCAUGUCACCAAUACCCCAGCCAUGCCAUUUUUUUUUUUUUUUUUGAUAUGGAGUCUCGCUCUGUCACCCAGGCUGGAGUGCAGUGAUGCUAUCUUGGCUCAUUGCAACCUCCGGCUCCCAGAUUCAAGAGCUUCUCCUGCCUCAACCUUUCGAGUAGCUGGGAUUACAGGUGUACACCACCACACCAGAUAAUUUUUUGUAUUUAAGUAGAGAUGGGAUUUCGCCAUAUUGGCCAGGCUGGUCUCGAAAUCCUGACCUCAAGUCAUCUGCCCACCUCUGCCUCCCAAAGCACUGGGAUUACAGGCCUGAGCCACUGUGCCCUGCUCCAUGCCCCGUUUUUACCCUCACUCUAUGUACGCCACUGCACUUUUGGCUUCUCAUAGGCCUAAGAGUCUGCUUGAUUAUGGUCAAGGGAGAGGGAUAGGCUCUAGGAGAUUAACUUGUAUGACCAGAUGGCAGUAGUUUUGUCAGCAAACACAGAUAAAUGUUAUCUAGAAAGAUUAUCUUCUCUACACACCCUAACAAAAGUCAUUUUUAACUAUGCUUUGUAUACAACGGUCCCUGACAUGAAAACUCCAGGUUAUUUAACAAGAGGUUACCAAGGUUUACUUGGCUUGACCACUGCAAAGGGCAAAUGUAAAAACUUGUUAGAGCGAUGAGGUGCUUAUGUUUCACCUCUUCAGACAACUUCUUGGACAAGCAUCAAGGAUGAUCUCAAGCCACCUAGGACCAUCAAAGAAUAAUUCUAAUCCAGCAUUUUGCAGGAAUGUACAUUCUAUUUUAUUUAUUUUUUGAGACAGGGUCUCACUCUGUCACCCAGGCUAGAGUGCGGUGAUGUCAGUUCACUGCAAACUCUGCCUCCUGGAUUCAAGUGAUUCCUCUGCCUCAGCCUCCCGAGUAGCUGGGGCUACAGGUGACUGUCACCAUGACCAGCUAAUUUUUGUAUUUUUAGUAUAGAUGGGGUUUCACCAUGUUGGCCAGGCUGGUCUGGAACUCCUGACUUCCAGCAAUCCACCCGUCUGGAUCUGCCAGAAAAUAUACAUUUUAAAAUAUUAAUGUAAAGAUUAAAGAUGGAGAAGAAGACAGUAUUGUGUUCUGUCAUCUUAAAAUAGAAAGGCUGACUUUGGCCAUUCCUUCGACUCAGGAAGUCCAUUAUUCAGGAAAAUCAAACGGUGUAAUGGUAGGUCUCUUUAGUAAAAGGAAAGGUUAAAGUAAUGUUCAUCUCUAGUCUACUCUAGCCUUUAU